UACGUAGGGGGCAAGCGUUGUCCGGAAUUAUUGGGCGUAAAGAGCGUGUAGGCGGUCCGGUAAGUCCGCUGUGAAAGUCCAGGGCUCAACCCUGGAAUGCCGGUGGAUACUGCCGGGCUAGAGUCCGGAAGAGGCGAGUGGAAUUCCUGGUGUAGCGGGGAAAUGCGCAGAUAUCAGGAGGAACCCCGAUGGCGAAGGCAGCUCGCUGGGACGGUACUGACGCUGAGACGCGAAAGCGUGGGGAGCAAACAGG
rnacentral:rRNA from 1 species